ACCUGGGUGGCUCAGUCGGUUGAGCAUCCGACUUUGGCUCAGAUCAUGAUCUCACAGUUUGUGGGUUCGAGCCCCACAUCGGGCU
rnacentral:tRNA from 1 species